rnacentral:rRNA from 1 species
GUUUAUGGGCACACUGUACUGACUGUACUCAUUCUCAUUUGAUCUUGGAAGCAAAGUAUUUCUGGGCCUGUCUAGCAUUUGAAUGGGAGGUGACUAGGGAAUCUUGGAUUCUGUGGACU